AGAACAAAGAGAGAACAGAGACAACCCACGAGAGUCAGAGAGAAGGAAGUGAGAGAAGAGAGCCUGGGGCUAUCCCAUGGGCAGCCUGGGUGGAUAAGCAGGGGAGAGUGUAUAGGGAAGUCCAAGCAAACAGAGGCAGGGUAGAGAGAGUGAGAGUACCCUGGGAAGAAACAGAGAGAGGGAUAGGGUGGUGGAAAAAGAGACAGACAGAUGAAAAGAAAAAGAGUCAAAGUUACACACAGAGAGUAAAGAAAGACAAAGUGAGAAAAAUAGAAAAGAAAGAUAAAGAGAGAGGAACACAGACAUUAAAGGGAGAAGGAGAGAGGGAGAGGGGGGGGAGAGUGAGAGAGGGGGAGAGAGAGAGAGAGAGAGAGAGAGAGAGAGAGAGAGAGAGAUUCAGGAGAGACUACUACCAGAGGUUGUAGAGAAGGGAUUGAAGGCUGAGAAGACACAAAA
rnacentral:lncRNA from 1 species